GUUAAUGUAGCUUAACAAAAAGCAAAGCACUGAAAAUGCUUAGAUGAGCUUCCUAGCUCCAUAAACAC
rnacentral:tRNA from 2 species